UUGCGGGAACCCGUAGAUCCGAACUUGUGCUGCCCUUUUUACACGUUACAAGGCCGGAUAUAUGGGAUCCUGCCGA
rnacentral:pre_miRNA from 14 species